GGUGACGAGUGGCGGACGGGUGAGUAAUGUCUGGGAAACUGCCUGAUGGAGGGGGAUAACUACUGGAAACGGUAGCUAAUACCGCAUAACGUCGCAAGACCAAAGAGGGGGACCUUCGGGCCUCUUGCCAUCAGAUGUGCCCAGAUGGGAUUAGCUAGUAGGUGGGGUAAUGGCUCACCUAGGCGACGAUCCCUAGCUGGUCUGAGAGGAUGACCAGCCACACUGGAACUGAGACACGGUCCAGACUCCUACGGGAGGCAGCAGUGGGGAAUAUUGCACAAUGGGCGCAAGCCUGAUGCAGCCAUGCCGCGUGUAUGAAGAAGGCCUUCGGGUUGUAAAGUACUUUCAGCGGGGAGGAAGGUGUUGUGGUUAAUAACCACAGCAAUUGACGUUACCCGCAGAAGAAGCACCGGCUAACUCCGUGCCAGCAGCCGCGGUAAUACGGAGGGUGCAAGCGUUAAUCGGAAUUACUGGGCGUA
rnacentral:rRNA from 1 species